UUGCACGCUGGCGGCCGGCCUCACACAUGCAAGUCGAGCGGAUGAAGGGAGCUUGCUCCUGGAUUCAGCGGCGGACGGGUGAGUAAUGCCUAGGAAUCUGCCUGGUAGUGGGGGAUAACGUCCGGAAACGGGCGCUAAUACCGCAUACGUCCUGAGGGAGAAAGUGGGGGAUCUUCGGACCUCACGCUAUCAGAUGAGCCUAGGUCGGAUUAGCUAGUUGGUGGGGUAAAGGCCUACCAAGGCGACGAUCCGUAACUGGUCUGAGAGGAUGAUCAGUCACACUGGAACUGAGACACGGUCCAGACUCCUACGGGAGGCAGCAGUGGGGAAUAUUGGACAAUGGGCGAAAGCCUGAUCCAGCCAUGCCGCGUGUGUGAAGAAGGUCUUCGGAUUGUAAAGCACUUUAAGUUGGGAGGAAGGGCAGUAAGUUAAUACCUUGCUGUUUUGACGUUACCAACAGAAUAAGCACCGGCUAACUUCGUG
rnacentral:rRNA from 1 species